rnacentral:rRNA from 1 species
GAUGAACGCUGGCGGCGUGCCUAAUACAUGCAAGUCGAGCGAACAGACGAGGAGCUUGCUCCUCUGACGUUAGCGGCGGACGGGUGAGUAACACGUGGAUAACCUACCUAUAAGACUGGGAUAACUUCGGGAAACCGGAGCUAAUACCGGAUAAUAUAUUGAACCGCUUGGUUCAAUAGUGAAAGACGGUUUUGCUGUCACUUAUAGAUGGAUCCUCGCCGCAUUAGCUAGUUGGUAAGGUAACGGCUUACCAAGGCAACGAUGCGUAGCCGACCUGAGAGGGUGAAGGACCACACUGGAACUGAGACACGGUCCAGACUCCUACGGGAGGCAGCAGUAGGGAAUCUACCGCAGUGGGGGAAAGCCUGACGGAGCAACGCCGCGUGAGUGAUGAAGGGCUUCGGAUCGUAAAACUCUGUUAUUAGGAAAGAACAAAUGUGUAAGUAACGAUGCACGUCUUGACGGUACCUAAUCAGAAAGCCACGGCUAACUACGU